UCGUCAUUCGUAGUUGACAGACAGUCCCUUUAAACAGCGAAUGUUUUGAUAAUGUCACGUGCACUGUAUGCGUUUUGUCACAAAAAGGUACCGCUUGGGUGUCUGUUCCCCACAUUCUCCUGGGAAUUUUGAACAAUCAUGUCGACUUAUAAAGUUGAACUUAUUUUGACUGUGGCGAGCGAAGCCGAUCUGAAAACUGUAAUUGAAAGAGCAACGGAGGAUAAAAUGGCCUUCGAUGUGAUGGGAAGAGAACUUCGCUUCCAGGACAGUGACGAACUGAAAAUGAUAAAGAAAUGGUGCGAAGGCCAGGGAAUCAAACUUAUUUAAGAUUCCGACAUCAACUAUCAACCGGCAAAAUUUGACGACGGACAUGGCAAACCUGGCAGUCGACAAUAGGUAUUUCCACUUCUAACGGCACAAAUCGACGACGGACCUUCGCAUGGCAAACCUGAUUGGUGGAUUUAUGCAUGGACUUUUUCGACUCCCGGUCCAAGCGGAUAUAUCGAACUUAAGUUAUUGACACAUACUAUUACAAUGUGCAAAUACACCAUGCACGAAAUAUUCUAAAUCAGUUACUACAACUCAACUCAACAUAGACGGUUCUUUGAUGUAUGUAUAUUUAUAGCUAAAAACGAAGUCUGAGAGAGAAAAUUCUAACGUAAUUUGGACAUUUUUAUCAAUGUGCAACUGUGCAAAAUAUUUCGGAUGUUUCUAUAUCUUAAAAAUGUUUUUUUUUUGCCGUGAUCGGUGGAAUUGUGACAUUAAUAAUGGAUAAACCUAGUAUCAUAUUCAUCUGUUAAAUAUCAGCCAUAUAACAUAUAUAACAUGUAAUAUAUAUGAGUCGCGUUCUAGGAAAACCGGCCUUAAUGCAUGUGCGUAAAGUGUAAAGUGGAGUCGGCACAGGCUAAUCUGGGACAAUACUUUUCGCCUACACUGGAUUAUCGUUUAAAAGAGACCUCCUUUAAACAAAACAUUCCAUACACGCGGAAAGUGUCAUAAGUGUCAUGUCUCAUUAGACUGUGCGGAACGCACAUGCUAAUCUGCGACGACACUUAAUGCACGUGCAUUAAACCCAGUUUUCCCAGAACGCGACUCAUAUAUAACAUAUAUCAACUUCAAACCAUAGAUUUUUGAUGUUGAACUUUCUACAGUAAAUAUCUAUUGUCGACUGUCGCUUGUACGCUAGUUAGUGUAAAAGUUAUCUUAAAGGCAACAGACUAGAUUUUACACCUGGGAGAGGAUAAAUGUUUAUAAAAUAUCCUUGCUGGAAAUUUCAAGAAAACCUUGCAACUAUAACCUAAUUUAACAGCUAUAUAAUAUAUAUCAACUUCAAACUAAAGAUUUUUGCUAUUGAUCUUUCUACAGUAAAUGUAUAUUGUCGACUGUCGCCUGUAAGCUAUUUAAUAUAAAGGUAGUACUGAAAAGUAUGUCCCAGUAUAAUAUAUCUAUAUUGUGUGUUUGUUUGCAUAACUGAUAUUUUUUCCUAUUUGUAGUUUAGUUUCUUUUUAUAUUAAACUUUUAUCCAAAGACGUU